GACAUUGACAAAAUCCGCAAUCACUUAGUUGCCAAUACAACAGAUAUCGUACUGUUCACAGCUGCGGUAUUUUUAUGCGGUUUUUACGCGUUUGAUAAAGUUUGGGAUGGCAUUGCUCUUUCCUGAAAAAGAAACUUACACGGGUUGACUUAGUCUCGUUGAUUUUAGCUCUCCAUUUGAGAAGCUACUUUUGGAGCAAAUUCAGGUGAUCUUGAAGGUAGGAGAAUGCAAUUUUAGGAUCUUGUGGCUUGCAAAUAUCGCUGCAUCACUCGCCAACGUUCCUAUUUUGGUGUUCGCUGUGGUUGGUUAGUCGAAUAUAUAUAGCGAACGUGGAACUGGAAAUAAAUAUACUAUGAUACACAUAGGAACAAAUUUAUACACUGUAUAUUCUGUGCGCAGAAUCAGCCUUUGAAUCGAUUAGUAAAUUGUUGGCCAAUGUCCAUAUUGUCCAUCAAAAUCCAAUGGCCAUCCAUUGUCCAUCACGAAUAAUCAUUUAGGCGAUCCUAGACGAGCAGACGAGAAUGAAAUAUGUAAAUUAACCGGUUAGCCGGUGUUGACGAGUAUACUCGUCAUGAAGAAAUGGCAAUACUUUAUGUUCUGACGAGUAUAAUCGUCACGAAGAACUGGCAAUACUUUAUGUUCUAACGAGUAUACUCAUCAUGAAGGACUGGCAAUACUUUGUAUUCUGACGAGUAUACUCGUCACGAAGAAAUGGCAAUACUUUAUGUUCUGACGAGUAUACUCAUCAUGAAGGACUGGCAAUAUUUUGUGUUCUGACGAGUAUACUCGUCAUGAAGAACUGGCAAUAUUUUGUGUUCUGACGAGUAUACUCGUCACGCGAAAAUGUAGUUACAAUUUGCUGUUUUAAUUGCAAUUUAGCAAUUGGAGUAAACUGUAAUAAUAAAAUUGAAAAAUAAAACAGUCAAAUCACAAAUUUAUUCUGUAUUAUAGCAGCCACACAUACUCUGUAUGUUUGACGAGUAUACUCGUCAUGGGUUACUUUUUGCGGCACAAUUUAGGAACACACUUUUCAAAGAAGUCGCAACAGUUAACUAGUUGAUAAAAUUAAGGAACAUGGUUCUUAUUUCAAAAUGAACCAGGAAGAAGAAAAUAAUUUUUUCAGUCAAGUACCAUCGACGAAUAAGCUAUGGAAAAUAAAAUAUUAAAAUUAAAAACCUUGCGACGCAACCUCCAUUCGACCAACGCGUCCUCUGCUUUCUUCGAUGAACGUUUCGGAUGAAGAAAUUUCCAACGAAGGCAAGCAAAGCAAUGUUUUAACGAUUUCCACGUACAAAUGCAACAAUAUUUGACUCGAAUCGUAAAUCCAAGAUUUAUCCAAUCGGACAGAGAGUCCUCGAAAGCUUUACAAUUCUGAAAACUUCCCAACUAAUGUAAUGUGAGCUCGUCAGGUUUUUAUUUUUAAUAAUACAAGUUCAACAAUUGAGUAAUACCCUAUAAUAAUAAUAAUAAUAAUAAUAAUAAUAACAAUAUUAAUACGCUAUUAUACGAUACCGCGAUUAUACGAUUAUUUCGUGCUCAACAUGUACAGGUUUCUGAUUUUAACAAACUUAUUUUCUUCUUCUUAGUACUUAUUUUUAAUUGAAACCAUCUUUUUCAACUUUUCCAAUUUACACACCUGAUUGUUUAUUUUCCCCCUGCAAAUUGUCAUCCGACAACGUACAUUGAGCCGUACCGUGCGAUAAGAAGAUAUCUGGAGAGUUCACCUGGGCCAACCAGACAAUUAUCCGCAAGGAAGAAUCGAUUUCUUGAAAUUACACGGUGUUAUCGUGGUAAAACGAGCGUGUUUUCCAACUUUCAGCUCUCUGGUUGUCCUAGGCAAGUAGCUGAAUCCUCGUUUUAGAAAAAAAUUCCAGCCGGACGGACAGGCAAAAAAAGUAAGCUGAAUGAAAAUCGUCGGAAAGAAAUUUCCUUAUAAUAUACAGCACGUUACAGUCUUAUCUAGCUCUUCUACAUUUACUUUCUUUACAUUUGCCUCACUGAUUCAGCCACGAUACGAUUGCGCGGUUUCUCGCCAGCCAUUCCACGCUGACCUCCUUUCCUCCGCUGCUACUUGUUUCUUUAAUGUACCUGCGAUCCUUCCCCUUGGCCCACCUGUCCCUUUCCUCCUUUCUUUCCCUCUUUUUAUUCUCUCUCUUUCUCUCCGUCUCGACCGUUUCGAUGGACCGGUACACGGCAAUCCAGAGUCUUAUUUAAGGGCAAGGUGAACGUACUGCUGUUGCGAGGUCAGGUUUUCAGUGCCACCUACGCAGAAGCCGUUGCAUCGAGUUGUUAUUUUGGAAAAUAGAGGCUGCCUCACGCUCCUUUCCAUUUUCGUCCGUUUUGUUUUGCCUUUGGUAAAAGGUGUUUUUGCUUCGAAUACACCGCAGGUGGCAAAGUCAGGAAUAGAACGCGCGACCGACAGACUGACUGGCAAAGUUGAAAUAUUUUUAGAAGUAAUCGAUUAAUUGCUGCUGUUGCAAAGGCAAUUCACACAGCAACGCUUUGGAGGAAUCGUUUAAGAACGAUCUGACCAAACGUUUGUUUGCACGGUUUACGACGUAUCUCGUAGCGAUGAAAUUGCUUUACAGUUGUUGUUCCACGUUGUUUGUACAGUUUCUUUGUUCGAAAAUUUCCUUUGUAUUUCGAAAGGAUCGCAAACAUACUUUUGUUAGACACAGCAACUGUGAUUAACAAUUUACCGAUCGAUAGCCGAUUAAUCGGUUUUUGUCGCCGAUGCUCACUGACCGAUAGCCUAUUAAUCGGCUUUCUGUCGCUAACGCUUACCGACCGAUAGCCUAUUAAUCGGCUUCUUGUCACCAACAAUCUUUCUCAUUAUUUGAGCAGUAAUUUGCUAUUUAGUACUAAGGUACCUUGUUCAGUUGCGUCAGUUGCGUUGCUCUGUAAGCUCCUACAGUUUUACACCAAUUUGAAAAACUUACUAGCGAAAAGAAUGGUAUUGGAGAGUCUAAACCGAAACAGAGCCGGCGCCAGGGAGAAUCUGCGCCUGAGUUGCCGGUCGGACGUGCGUAUGCUGUUGAACCGCUAGAGGUCGGUAAAGUAUUAAAAAAUACUUGACACGGUCUGGAUCAUGUGGUUUGACAGUUUUCAGUUUUCUUUAUCGUUGUUUCUCUCUUAUUGUACGUGUACUUGGUGAGUGGCUGUCGUAGUGAUAUUUAUAGCGUUAUUAAACGUUCUUUGUACUCAUUGUGUAAAACGUAGCUCACCCUCCGGAGAAGUUUGAGUUUUAAUUUGUACUUUCAAUUAAUCCGGAAAUAUACUUCCGUGAAACGUACAUGACACGCUUUGGUCUUCGUCGUUGAUCCCUUGCUAUUGUACGCGUACUUCGUAAAUCGCUGUGAAAAUUCUCUUUCACGAAUAGGCGGCUGGAUAUUCGCGUGCUCGCUACUCCAAUCGAUUGGUUAACAUUACGUGGCUACACUGUUAACGACUUGUAAAUGGUUGGUAAUUAUAGCGUGAGACACAGCAACCUAGAAAGGAAGUGACAUGUGAAGAAUGCGCAAUUAAGAAAACACAUCAAUUCUAUGUAUUAUUAAAACGAAUAAUCUUCCUGGAACCUCUGACAAUCUGAACGCCUAACGAAACGACGUAUUCGUAUUAAUUUCCAAAGAUCAAAUAACGCAGCUCAAUCUAAAUGCUCGUUGAGGUUAGCAACUAAGUGGUUGCGGAUUUUGCCAUUAGGUGGUACUACAAUCACUUAGUUGCCAAGCUAAUACAAUCUCUUUUUCUGCUUAUCAAAUUAUCAAAUUGCAAAAUCAAAUUAUAAUCGACAUUCAAACGAUACAAUUAAUAAAUAUAAUAUAAUAUUCGAUUGACAACUAAGUGAUUGGGGUUAGGUUAUUUAGUAGGUUAGGUUAGGUUAUAUAAUAUUCGGUUGGUAACUAAAUGAUUGCGGAUUUUGUCAUUAAGUGGUACUACAAAAUCCGCAAUCACUUAGUUGCCAAGCUAAUGCAAUCUCUUUUUCUGCUUAUCAGAUUAUCAAAUUAUCAAAUUACAAAAUCAAAUUAUAGUCGACAUUCAAACGAUACAAUUAUAAAUAUAAUAUAAUAUUCGAUUGGCAACUAAGUGAUUGGGGUUAGGUUAUUCAAUAGGUUAGGUUAGGUUUCAUAAUAUUCGGUUGGCAACUGAUUGCGGGUUUUGUCAUUAGGUGGUACUACAAAAUCCGCAAUCACCUAGUUGCCAAGCUAAUACAAUCUCUUUUUCUGCUUAUUAAAUUAUCAAAUUGCAAAAUCAAAUUAUAAUCGACAUUCAAACGAUACAAUUGAUAAAUAUAAUAUAAUAUUCGAUUGGCAACUAAGUGAUUGGGGUUAGGUUAUUCAAUAGGUUAAGUUAGGUUACAUAAUAUUCGGUUGGCAACUAAGUGAUUGCGGAUUUUGUCAUUGGAUGGUAUUGACAAAAUCCGCAAUCACUUAGUUGCCAAGCUAAUACAUAUGUAGGUGCAAUCUCUUUUUCUGCUUAUCGUUCGUUUGCGAGCAGCAAGUGCAACCUUAACAUCGUCGCGAUUACAAUAAUCGAUUUAAGCGGAAAGCAAACAACCGCGGAAGCUGUUUUUCCAUCGUCGUUCGAUCACGUUGGUGGAAAAAUCAUGUCUAAUCGACGAAACGCCAGCAACGAUGUGACACGGUUGCGUAAAAAAGAGAAAAAUAUUUCAGGCAACCGAUCGAAACAUCAACGCUAAUCGACGUCCAAUCAACGUCUCGUUAUCAUUACGAAUUACGCGUUCACGGGUGGCCGAGCCAGGAAUUUGCACGUGUACAAAGCGAGAGACGAUGGACGCGGCGCGGCCGACCAGGCUCAUUAGGAAUAAAUCAAUUAGCAGGCCGCCUGAUUGCCGGCUCAACGAUUCGACGGCUAUCCAAUUAACAGUUUCCUCUUGAUUAUCAAACAAUACUCGAUCUUUCGACGAAGACGAAUCCCUGACCGGUUGAUUCGCACAAGCGACAGGCGCCAACAUCAGCUGAACGUUCGCGAAUACGAUUAUUCACCACGACUUUAAUUAAGUGGCUGGUGGGAGUUGCGUCGACGGGUCCUUCACCUUUGCAAAACGUACGGCGUAAGGUGGGGAAAUUUCGUUCGUUCGAAACUAAAUCGAUUUUUUUAACCUGACAAAAUUUGUUUCAUUAUAUUUGGUAAAAAGUUUCUCUCGUUUCAUAAGGAAAUGGUAGACAUUUUUUGUUUUAUUCGUUGUUUUGUUACUACAAAUAAAAUAGCACAAAAAAAAAAUGUUGCGCAUUUAAUGUUUGCUUAUAUUGGGUUGGCAAUUAAUGGCAAGAUUCGUAAUCACUUAAUUGCCAACCCAAUAAAAUGAAAGAAACUUUUGGGGCGAUGUAAAAUAUUUGAAAACCUGGUAACUGAAGAUUUGUGAUCAAUGUUUUAUAAAAGUUCGUGCAAUCGCGGUAGAAAAUAUGUGUAAUUGUCGAGAAGAAGUGUUCCUCUUUUCGUCGACUUAGCUUUAGCGAGAAAAUGUUUACGUUGUUGUUGUUUUACGUGCUUGAAGGAUCUUUUAUUACAAAAGUACGUACGUAGAGCAGAUGAUGAAGCUGUACAAGAAGAAUCAUAUACGAAUUUUCUGAUUCGUCAUAUGCACGUGCAUUGCUCGUAACACCAUCUGACGCACGCGGUGCGUCUACCCGCGUUUCUGUCCUCACGUCGUUCGAAAAUUGAUUGUAAUACAUUGACUGACGAUUGAUUGUAUAUGAAACGAGCCACGUAUUGGUCUUCUUCGUUUUUACUCCAUCACUUUGUUUCGAAUUUCUUUCUGAAUGACGCGUUUCUAAUAUAAUUGCAAGAUGUGAUCGAUAAGCGAUAGGACGAGAUGGCUACUUUGGAAUAUAAAAAUAGAAACGGUAUACUACACGUGGGCGAAAACAAAGGCUACAAUUACGUGCUUUCGAUAUGGAAAUACAAUUUCGAUUAUAAACGCUAUUCCUUAACCAGUUAGAUACCGCGAUCUCUUUGAAAAUUUUGAAAAGCGUGUACCUAGGAUGUGUGGCAAAAAGUGAACGAUGACGAGUAUAAUCGUCAAGCACAGAAUAUGUAUAGCUGUUAUGAUAUAGAAUGAAGUUGUCAUGAUAUGACUGUUUUAUUUUUUAAUUUCAUUACUGCAAUUUACUGCAAUUACUAAACAGCGUAUUGCAACGACCUUUUACACGUGACGAGUAUACUCGUCUAGCACCACAGUGUGUGGUAAAAAGUAAGUGAUGACGAGUAUACUCGUCAAGUACCACAAUAUGUGACAAAAAGUAAGCGAUGACGAGUAUACUCGUCAAGCACCACAGUCUGUGGCAAAAAGUAAGCGAUGACGAGUAUACUCGUCAAGCAGCACAGUAUGUGUGGCAAAAAGUAAAUGAUGACGAGUAUACUCGUCAAGCAGCACAGUGUGUGACAAAAAGUAAGCGAUGACGAGUAUACUCGUCAAGUACCACAAUAUGUGUGGCUGUUGUAAUAUAGAGUUAAAUUGUACUGAAAGGACUGUUUUAUUUUCUUCAUCAUAUUUCUCGUCAUAACACAGAAUAUUUCUACUUCUUCGUGACGAGUAUACUCGUCAAAUCCAGCUAACUACUUAAUCUCAAGUCCAUUAGUCGAUCGCUCGAGUAAUAAUGAAUCUUCUAACGCUUAGUGCCUGGUCUUUAGGCUCUCGCUUGGAAUUAAGGGAAGAAUUCCGUCGGCUUCAGCGAGGUAACGAGUUUACUAACCCCUUGGCAUGUAGGUUAAAAGGAAUCGAUGAGAUUGCACGGCGUGCGAGCGCCGCGUAUGCAUCGCUCGCACUGUAGUCUGUGCAGCUAUCGCUGUAGGAGCCGCGGUUAACCAGAAGUCGCAAGCCGGCCGGCGUUAACUUCGCUCGCGAAUCACAGCUUCGGCUUAAUUGUUUCCACGAGGGAGAUCAGCUACGAAACGAUCGCGGAUCGAUCGAGCCAGUGGAAACCAGUCGCGUUGAUCGCUUCGUUGCUUCGUCGAUUGCGCGAU